rnacentral:rRNA from 1 species
UACGUAGGGGUCGAGCGUUGUCCGGAGUUACUGGGCGUAAAGCGCGCGCAGGCGGCGCGAUAAGACCGGCGUGAAAGCCCCCGGCUCAACCGGGGAGGGUCGUUGGUGACUGUCGCGCUUGAAGGCAGCAGGGGUGAGUGGAAUUCCCGGUGUAGUGGUGAAAUGCGUAGAUAUUGGGAGGAACACCAGUGGCGAAGGCGGCUCACUGGACCGGAACUGACGCUGAGGCGCGAAAGCGUGGGGAGCAAACGGG